GCGAACCUGCGGNUGCCUAACACAUGCAGUCGCACGGAGAGUGGGGCAACUCACUCUCAAGGGCAAACGGGUGAGUAACGCGUGAAUAACCUGCCUUUGAGAAGGGGAUAACUGUCCGAAAGGAUAGCUAAUACCCUAUAUUGCCUUUUGUCACUAAGGCAAAAGGUGAAAGCGAGACUGUCAAAGGCUUCGGCUCAAAGAGGGGUUCGCGUCCUAUCAGGUAGUUGGUGGGGUAAUGGCCUACCAAGCCAAUGACGGGUAGCUGGUCUUAGAGGAUGAUCAGCCACAGUGGGACUGAGACACGGCCCGCACCCCUACGGGGGGCAGCAGUGGGAGAUCGUGGGCAAUGGGCGCAAGCCUGACCCCGCAAUGCCGCGUGAGGGAAGAAGCCCUUCGGGGUGUAAACCUCUGUCAGAUGGGAAGAUGGGACUAGGGGCUAAUACCUCCUGGUCUUGACGGUACCAUCAGAGGAAGGGACGGCUAACUACGUGCCAGCAGCCGCGGUAAU
rnacentral:rRNA from 1 species